rnacentral:lncRNA from 1 species
CAACCACCACAGAGCUGCUCAAUUUGUCUGGUACGUGGACCCAUGGCUCCUGAGAGGUGGGAAGGGGCUGCCUGCAUCCGUGGGCCCUGAAUCACGACAUAGAGGAAGAUGCCUCUGCUUCUCGAUGUUGGAGGUGGGAAGAAAGCAAGGGCAGGACAAUGCCCUCCAGGAGAUGCCAAUGUGGAUGAAUUUAGCCUGCAGUACAGGCCCUCACCCGGUUUCUAUCAUCACUGAAGUCUCCUCCAGGCCAAUGAGUUUCUGAAUUUAUGAAUAUGAAUACGACAGACGCUCUUCACAAUCUUGCUGACACUUUCACAUGGUUCAGUGAAACGCUGUUCACAGAUGCAGGAAAGUUAAACUUCAGGCCUGAUUCAUGGUGAAUGGUGAGAAAACUGAGGAACAAAGAGGUCAAGGUAACCUGUACAAGAUCAC